UCCAACUAAAAACAUUCAGGAAAGUAAACUAAAAGAAAUUUGGGAGCUCAAAUGUGUGUUUCUUCUUCAGUUCCUCCUUCUCCAUAGAAACGCCUUUGUCUAAGAUAUUCAACGUAUCUUGAAGGACUUGGUCGAAGCUUCCGCAUUCAUCUAGUAAAUUUGUAUCGUCUCUGCUAGAUCUAGGGUAUUACAAUGUCUCUUCCUUGGGAUCAUUCGUCUUUGAAUGUUGGUCUAGAAUGAAAAAUGAAUUGAACUAUUGUGGCUAUCAAGUUAGAAGAUGGUGUUUUCUUACCUCAAAGGUCUUGGAGCUCUAUUCAAUGGAUGAUGGAUGUUUAUACUUUGAGAAAAUAUGAGCAUGCUCUUUUUGAAGUCCAAAAGCCCCUUUAAAAGGCGUCCAAAUGUAACCCGGCCCGUUGUGCCCGACUGCCCGUACAACAAGCGAUAAGAUGGUCAUAACUCUUUACUCAAAUGUCAUAUUGACAAACAGUUUGAUAUUUUGUAAUCUAGACUCAAAGAUCUUAAUUUGACAUGCUAUAGGUAUUCUAAAUCCUUAUAUAUUGGGAGAUAUUCUCAUCCUAAGUUAGCCCAUAAAAAAAUUAUAUCAAAACACUCUUAUAGUAAAUUCGUCACUUGAGAUUUUUGUUUCAA